GAUGAACGCUGGCGGCGUGCCUAAUACAUGCAAGUCGAGCGAACAGACGAGAGUGCUUGCACUCUCUGACGUUAGCGGCGGACGGGUGAGUAACACGUGGGUAACCUACCUAUAAGACUGGGAUAACUUCGGGAAACCGGAGCUAAUACCGGAUAAUAUUUAGCUUCGCAUGAAGCAAUAGUGACAGACGGUUCUGCUGUCACUUAUAGAUGGACCCGCGGUGUAUUAGCUAGUUGGUGAGGUAACGGCUCACCAAGGCAACGAUACAUAGCCGACCUGAGAGGGUGAUCGGCCACACUGGGACUGAGACACGGCCCAGACUCCUACGGGAGGCAGCAGUAGGGAAUCUUCCGCAAUGGACGAAAGUCUGACGGAGCAAUGCCGCGUGAGUGAAGAAGGUUUUCGGAUCGUAAAACUCUGUUGUAAGGGAAGAACAAGUACGUUAGUAACUGAACGUACCUUGACGGUACCUUACCAGAAAGCCACGGCUAACUACGUG
rnacentral:rRNA from 1 species